rnacentral:RNase_P_RNA from 1 species
UCAGACGGCCGGAUGGCUGCACUGGGCGGGCAACCGCCUGGUGAGGAAAGUCCGGGCUCCACGGAGACACGGUGCCGGCUAACGGCCGGCGGGGGCGACCCCAGGGAAAGUGCCACAGAGAACAGACCGCCUGCCCGGUUUACCGGGACGGCAAGGGUGAAACGGUGGGGUAAGAGCCCACCGCGCGACCGGCAACGGAAGCGGCACGGCAAACCCCACCGGGAGCAAGACCAAAUAGGGGCGGCACGCCGGGCAACCGGCAGCGGUGUUUCCGCGUCGCCGCCCGGGUCGGUCGCGCGAGGCGCUCGGUAACGGGCGUCCCAGAGGAAUGGCCAUCCAUCGCCGAAAGGCGAGGACAGAACCCGGCUUACAGGCCGUCUGACCUG